CACGGCAAUAAAACCGGUGCAUCUGGAAGAGAGGAGUCAGCAGCAGAUGUGCCCCUGCAAACUGCUCGCCGUGAUGAAUGCUCUUCCCAGAUACUGCUAAUCCCUUUUCUCUUGCUCCUAGACCUCCUUCGUCUCCCUGUGAUUAAACAGCUCUUUGAAGACAUCACCAGAAGUUAUUUCUUCCUUGCAGGAAUGUCACUUGCCGAGUUUGUAGCUUUGGCUCUGGGCAUAAAGAGCCAAAGCUCUUUUUGCAAAGGAGCCAAGGGAAAGCAGAGUCUGGGUGCUCUUGUGACACCAUUGUGCUUUAGACAGAGCCUUCAGGGGCCACCAGAGCCUCCACCAGAAGAUCAUGGCCACCAAAAGGAUGUAUGUCUCUGAUGGUCUCCACGGACAGUGUGGGCUGAAUUUCAUCCUCUUUCAUCUGGGUCCUGGAGUUGUUCUCAGCCCCGCUCCCUCCACCUCUGCACCUGAUGUCCUUGCCAAGCACACUGGGAAGAGGCUCUAGCCCAGAGCACAGCAGCAUACACCCCAAAGGUAGGUAGUUGUGGAUGCGGAUGAUGAGCUGCCUGGGUGCUUCCCUUCUGCUCCUGCCUGAGAUGUGAAGAUCAUUCCCCCCAUCAUAGAGCAGCACGUAUUGUUUGUCCCCAUGUAUCUUCCUAACCCUAGGAUCUGUGGCAGCCAAGUGAGACACAGUCUGUCCAUCUGAGAGAUCCAGCAGAAAUAAUCUGGCCUAUGGGGAUCAGUGUUCUGCUGCUAUCCCAGCACACGCUUCAUCAGCUGGUGACCAAGCUUUGCUUUGCAUACAUAUGAAAAAUUAACCUGAGCCAGCAGGAUGCUUGCUUGCCUUCCAGACUGCUCUCUUUGGCCAGCAGUGAGCUCAGAGCCAGAUGAUGCACUGCAUACACACACAGGCAGCCUGCACCAGGGGCUGUAGCAAU
ensembl:lncRNA